UUUUUUUUUAAGGUCCUAGUAGAUAGGUUUUUCUCACUCCUUCCAUUCCUCUGGUUGUUUUUGAUCUUUAAAGUACACUUGGAAAGCAGAUGAACACUUUCAUAAGGCCAGUGGCAGAUAUUUUGGUUAAUUAAGAAAAAUACCAAUAAAAGAGAAGACAGUGACUAUGGGAGCAGCCAUCCAUGUCUUUGUGCCAAGUGUUCGUUUCAUGACCAGUGGGUAAUCUGAAGAAGGCAUUCUGAAUUUGUCUUAGAAGUGCAACUCUCCUUUCAUCGACAGCAAAUGAAAAACUUCACAGCAGCAGACAGGGCUGGAUGAGAAAAGAACAGUUGAUUUCACAAACCCAGAAUCUUCAUUCAAGUUAAAAUUCACAAAUAAAGCAAAUGUUCUUGAAAAUCAAGCUUCUCCGGCAUGGUUUAGAAAAAAAGAUUCAUCAUCAUUGAAUGACACAGGAACAGCUGUUACAGAGGCCAUGAAAUGAAAGUGCCACGUUCCAGGUAAUAGUUAGAAUGACAGUUUGUCUUUAUUAGAAUCAAUGAUGAACAAAUUAAAAAUAGAGCAGUGUCGAAUAGCAACACACAAACUAAAACACUUACUUUGAAAAGUUGCAUUGUCUCCUUCAAUUUGGUAAUACAGCUGAGUUGAAAAACACCCUGGGAAAUAGGAAAAUCCAGAUCUCAUAACUAUGCAAUCUAUUAUGAAUAUGAAUGCAGUAUCUCCAAGCAACCUGAGACAAUGCAGGCAAUAUACGCUUUAUGGAGCCAAGUGAGAAUCGUUCCG
rnacentral:lncRNA from 1 species